GAUGAACGCUGGCGGCGUGCCUAAUACAUGCAAGUCGAGCGAACGGACGAGAAGCUUGCUUCUCUGAUGUUAGCGGCGGACGGGUGAGUAACACGUGGAUAACCUACCUAUAAGACUGGGAUAACUUCGGGAAACCGGAGCUAAUACCGGAUAAUAUUUUGAACCGCAUGGUUCAAAAGUGAAAGACGGUCUUGCUGUCACUUAUAGAUGGAUCCGCGCUGCAUUAGCUAGUUGGUAAGGUAACGGCUUACCAAGGCAACGAUGCAUAGCCGACCUGAGAGGGUGGUCGGCCACACUGGAACUGAGACACGGUCCAGACUCCUACGGGAGGCAGCAGUAGGGAAUCUUCCGCAAUGGGCGAAAGCCUGACGGAGCAACGCCGCGUGAGUGAUGAAGGUCUUCGGAUCGUAAAACUCUGUUAUUAGGGAAGAACAAAUGUGUAAGUAACUAUGCACGUCUUGACGGUACCUAAUCAGAAAGCCACGGCUAACUACGUG
rnacentral:rRNA from 1 species